CUGAUGACGAGUCCCAAACAGGACGAAAUGCGCGUCCUG
rnacentral:hammerhead_ribozyme from 1 species